rnacentral:rRNA from 1 species
GAUUAAGUUAUUAAGGGCGCACGGUGGAUGCCUUGGCACUAGAAGCCGAUGAAGGACGUUACUAACGACGAUAUGCUUUGGGGAGCUGUAAGUAAGCUUUGAUCCAGAGAUUUCCGAAUGGGGAAACCCAGCAUGAGUUAUGUCAUGUUAUCGAUAUGUGAAUACAUAGCAUAUCAGAAGGCACACCCGGAGAACUGAAACAUCUUAGUACCCGGAGGAAGAGAAAGAAAAUUCGAUUCCCUUAGUAGCGGCGAGCGAAACGGGAAGAGCCCAAACCAACAAGCUUGCUUGUUGGGGUUGUAGGACACUCUAUACGGAGUUACAAAGGACGACAUUAGACGAAUCAUCUGGAAAGAUGAAUCAAAGAAGGUAAUAAUCCUGUAGUCGAAAAUGUUGUCUCUCUUGAGUGGAUCCUGAGUACGACGGAGCACGUGAAAUUCCGUCGGAAUCUGGGAGGACCAUCUCCUAAGGCUAAAUACUCUCUAGUGACCGAUAGUGAACCAGUACCGUGAGGGAAAGGUGAAAAGCACCCCGGAAGGGGAGUGAAAUAGAACCUGAAACCGUGUGCUUACAAGUAGUCAGAGCCCGUUAAUGGGUGAUGGCGUGCCUUUUGUAGAAUGAACCGGCGAGUUACGAUUUGAUGCAAGGUUAAGCAGUAAAUGUGGAGCCGUAGCGAAAGCGAGUCUGAAUAGGGCGUUUAGUAUUUGGUCGUAGACCCGAAACCAGGUGAUCUACCCUUGGUCAGGUUGAAGUUCAGGUAACACUGAAUGGAGGACCGAACCGACUUACGUUGAAAAGUGAGCGGAUGAACUGAGGGUAGCGGAGAAAUUCCAAUCGAACCUGGAGAUAGCUGGUUCUCUCCGAAAUAGCUUUAGGGCUAGCCUCAAGUGAUGAUUAUUGGAGGUAGAGCACUGUUUGGACGAGGGGCCCCUCUCGGGUUACCGAAUUCAGACAAACUCCGAAUGCCAAUUAAUUUAACUUGGGAGUCAGAACAUGGGUGAUAAGGUCCGUGUUCGAAAGGGAAACAGCCCAGACCACCAGCUAAGGUCCCAAAAUAUAUGUUAAGUGG